rnacentral:rRNA from 1 species
UCGAACGAGACUUUUCGUUAUAGCAAUAUGAUGGAAAGUUUAGUGGCGAACGGGUGCUUAACACGUGGGCAACCUGCCAUGAAGUGGGGGAUAGCUCGCCGAAAGGCGAAUUAAUACCGCAUGUGAUUAGAGAGGACAUCCUUUCGAAAUUAAAGUCGGGGCAACCUGACGCUUCUUGUGGGGCCCGCGGCCUAUCAGCUAGUUGGUGAGGUAACGGCUCACCAAGGCUUUGACGGGUAGCUGGUCUGAGAGGACGACCAGCCACACUGGGACUGAGACACGGCCCAGACACCUACGGGUGGCAGCAGUCGAGAAUUUUUGACAAUGGGGGAAACCCUGAUCGAGCGACGCCGCGUGGAGGAUGAAGGUCUUCGGAUUGUAAACUCCUGUCAUUGGGGAACAAGGUGCAUACGUUAACUACGUGUGCAUUGAUAGUACCCGAAGAGGAAGAGACGGCUAACUCUGUGCCAGCAGCCGCGGUAAUACAGAGGUCUCAAGCGUUGUUCGGAUUCAUUGGGCGUAAAGGGUGCGUAGGCGGCGCGGUAAGUCGGGUGUGAAAUCUCGGAGCUUAACUCCGAAACUGCAUUCGAUACUGCCGUGCUUGAGGACUGGAGAGGAGACUGGAAUUUACGGUGUAGCGGUGAAAUGCGUAGAUAUCGUAAGGAAGACCAGUGGCGAAGGCGGGUCUCUGGACAGUUCCUGACGCUGAGGCACGAAGGUCAGGGGAGCAAACGGGAUUAGAUACCCCGGUAGUCCUGACAGUAAACGGUGCACGUUUGGUGUGGGAGGAUUCGAC